AUUGAACGCUGGCGGCAGGCCUAACACAUGCAAGUCGAGCGAGCGGCGGACGGGUGAGUAAUGUCUGUGAGACUGCCUGAUGGAGGGGGAUAACUACUGGAAACGGUAAUUAAUACCGCAUCCCAUCAGAUGUGCCCAGGUGGGAUUAGCUAGUAGGGGGGGUAACGGCUCACCUAGGCGACGAUCCCUAGCUGGUCUGAGAGGCUGAGCAGGCAGACUGGAACUGAGACACGGGCCAGACUCCUACGGGAGGCAGCAGUGGGGAAUAUUGGACAAUGGGCGAAAGCCUGAUGCAGCCAUGCCGCGUGUGUGAAGAAGGCCUUCGGGUUGGAAAGCACUUUAAGCUGGGAGGCGUUACCAGCAGAAGAAGCACCGGCUAACUCCGUGCCAGCAGCCGCGGUAAUAC
rnacentral:rRNA from 1 species